AGCUGCGUGGCGCAGUGGAAGCGCGGUAAGUCAACAAAACUCCCCGAUAAAAAUCGGGUCCAUUGUACUAACAACGAAAUAACAGCCGGGCUCAUAACCCGGAGGUCCUCCGAUCGAAACGGAGCGCAGCUA
rnacentral:tRNA from 1 species